rnacentral:rRNA from 1 species
AUACUGUGAAACUGCGAAUGGCUCAUUAAAUCAGUUAUCGUUUAUUUGAUAGUACCUUUACCUGGAUAACCGUGGUAAUUCUAGAGCUAAUACAUGCUAAAAAUCCCGACUUCGGAAGGGAUGUAUUUAUUAGAUAAAAAACCAAUGCCCUUCGGGGCUCCUUGGUGAUUCAUAAUAACUUAACGAAUCGCAUGGCCUUGCGCCGGCGAUGGUUCAUUCAAAUUUCUGCCCUAUCAACUUUCGAUGGUAGGAUAGUGGCCUACCAUGGUCUCAACGGGUAACGGGGAAUUAGGGUUCUAUUCCGGAGAGGGAGCCUGAGAAACGGCUACCACAUCCAAGGAAGGCAGCAGGCGCGCAAAUUACCCAAUCCCAAUUCGGGGAGGUAGUGACAAUAAAUACUGAUACAGGGCUCUUUUGGGUCUUGUAAUUGGAAUGAGUACAAUCUAAAUCCCUUAACGAGGAACAAUUGGAGGGCAAGUCUGGUGCCAGCAGCCGCGGUAAUUCCAGCUCCAAUAGCGUAUAUUAAAGUUGUUGCCGUUAAAAAGCUCGUAGUUGAACCUUGGGCCUGGCUGAUCUGUCCUCCUAAUCGAGCGCACGGAUUCGGUCGGGCCUUUCCUUCUGGGGAGCCCGAUGCCCUUCACUGGGUGUCGCGGGGAACCAGGACUUUUACCUUGAAAAAAUUAGAGUGUUCAAAGCAGGCCUUUGCUCGAAUACAUUAGCAUGGAAUAAUAGAAUAGGACAGAGGUUCUAUUUUGUUGGUUUCUAGGACCGCUGUAAUGAUUAAUAGGGAUAGUCGGGGGCGUCCGUAUUCAAUUGUCAGAGGUGAAAUUCUUGGAUUUAUUGAAGACGAACUACUGCGAAAGCAUUCGCCAAGGAUGUUUUCAUUAAUCAGUGAACGAAAGUUAGGGGAUCGAAGACGAUCAGAUACCGUCGUAGUCUUAACCAUAAACUAUGCCGACUAGGGAUCGGACGGUGGUUUUUUUAUGCCCCGUUCGGCACCUUACGAGAAAUCAAAGUUUUUG